rnacentral:rRNA from 1 species
AACACGUGGGAACGUGCCUUUUGGUUCGGAACAACUCAGGGAAACUUGAGCUAAUACCGGAUAAGCCUUUCGAGGGAAAGAUUUAUCGCCAUUAGAGCGGCCCGCGUAGGAUUAGCUAGUUGGUGGGGUAAAGGCCCACCAAGGCUACGAUCCUUAGCUGGUCUGAGAGGAUGAUCAGCCACAUUGGGACUGAGACACGGCCCAAACUCCUACGGGAGGCAGCAGUGGGGAAUCUUGCGCAAUGGGCGAAAGCCUGACGCAGCCAUGCCGCGUGAAUGAUGAAGGUCUUAGGAUUGUAAAAUUCUUUCACCGGGGACGAUAAUGACGGUACCCGGAGAAGAAGCCCCGGCUAACUUCGUGCCAGCAGCCGCGGUAAUACGAAGGGGGCUAGCGUUGCUCGGAAUUACUGGGCGUAAAGGGAGCGUAGGCGGAUAGUUUAGUCAGAGGUGAAAGCCCAGGGCUCAACCUUGGAAUUGCCUUUGAUACUGGCUAUCUUGAGUACGGAAGAGGUAUGUGGAACUCCGAGUGUAGAGGUGAAAUUCGUAGAUAUUCGGAAGAACACCAGUGGCGAAGGCGACAUACUGGUCCGUUACUGACGCUGAGGCUCGAAAGCGUGGGGAGCAAACAGGAUUAGAUACCCUGGAGUCCACGCUGUAAACGAUGAGUGCUAGUUGUCGG